ACAUUGAUGAUUCCAUAGUUCAUCUGAUAUUUUAUUGAAGACUCAAUAUUACAGUCUUUCACCCCUAACUGA
rfam:Harpegnathos saltator strain R22 G/1 HarSal_1.0_3.contig3978, whole genome shotgun sequence.